rnacentral:rRNA from 1 species
CCUACGGGUGGCUGCAGUAGGGAAUAUUGCACAAUGGGGGAAACCCUGAUGCAGCGACGCCGCGUGAGCGAUGAAGUAUUUCGGUAUGUAAAGCUCUAUCAGCAGGGAAGAAGAUGAAGGUACCUGACUAAGAAUCCCCGGAGAACUACGUGCCAGAAGCCGCGGUAAUACGUCGGGGGCACGCGUUAUCCGGAUUUACUGGGUGUAAAGGGAGCGUAGACGGCGAUGCAAGUCAGAUGUGAAAGCCCGGGGCUCAACCCCGGGACGGCAUUGGAAACUGUGUGGCUUGAGUGGAGGAGAGGAAGGCGGAAUUCCUAGUGUAGCGGUGAAAUGCGUAGAUAUUAGGAGGAACACCAGUGGCGAAGGCGGCCUGCUGGUCGAUCACUGACGUUGAGGCUCGAAAGCGUGGGGAGCAAACAGGAUUAGAUACCCGAGUAGUC